rnacentral:misc_RNA from 1 species
ACAAAACCCAAAACAAUAAAUGAAUCACGAAUCCAGCUAUGCAAUUUCUGUCCAUUCCUAAAUUAACAAAGGGACUAAAAAAAAAUUGCCGCAAAUAUACAUGUGUUGCCCAAUUGAAGGAGGACAUAAUCCACGCAGCCAUAUAACAAAUACUAGGAACCAAGUUGAACAGGCUGUGUUGGUAAGUAAAGAGAGCUCUCCCCUAGAAUAUUACUACACUCUUCACUUUAAUGGAAAGCGAGAGAGAGAGAGAGAGAGAGAG